GACGAACGCUGGCGGCGUGCUUAACACAUGCAAGUCGAACGAAGUGGCGAACGGGUGAGUAACGCGUAAUCAACCUGCCCUUCAGAGGGGGACAACAGUUGGAAACGACUGCUAAUACCGCAUACUGAAGGAGGGGAUUGCGUCUGAUUAGCUAGUUGGAGGGGUAACGGCCCACCAAGGCGAUGAUCAGGAGCCGGUGUGAGAGGAUGAAAGGAUAGAUUGGAACUCAGUAACGGCCCAGACCCGUAAGGGAGGAAGCAGGGGGCCAUCUUCCGACAAGGAAGAUAGUCUGACAGAGCAACGCAGCGUAAGUGAUGACGGCCUUCGGGUGGUAAAGCUCUGUUAAUCGGGACGCGGUACCGGAAUAGAAAGCCACGGCUAACUACGUGCAAGCAGCCGCGGUAAUAC
rnacentral:rRNA from 1 species